AAUCAACGCUGGCGGCGUGCCUCAGACAUGCAAGUCGAACGCGAAAUUUCCCUUCGGGGGAGAAAGUAGAGUGGCGCACGGGUGAGUAACACGUGGAUAAUUUACCUCCGGGUGGGGAAUAACAACCGGAAACGGUUGCUAAUACCGCAUAAUGCAGCGGCAUCUAUGAUGACAGUUGUUAAAGCGGGGGAUCGCAAGACCUCGCGCCUGAAGAGAAGUCCGCGGCAGAUUAGCUAGUUGGUAGGGUAAUGGCCUACCAAGGCGACGAUCUGUAGCCGGCCUGAGAGGGCGGUCGGCCACACUGACACUGACAUACGGGUCAGACUCCUACGGGAGGCAGCAGUCGGGAAUUUUGGGCAAUGGGCGAAAGCCUGACCCAGCAACGCCGCGUGAAGGAUGAAGCA
rnacentral:rRNA from 1 species